UAGAGUUUGAUCCUGGCUCAGGGCGAACGCUGGCGGCGUGCCUAACACAUGCAAGUCGUGCGACGGCCUCUCCCGCAAGGGAGGGGUACGGAGCGGCAAACGGGUGAGUAACACGUAGCUAACCUGCCCGCCCGACGGGGAUAACCCUCCGAAAGGGGGGCUAAUACCCGAUGGUCUCUCGGUCUCACAAGAGGCCGGGAGUAAAGGCGCUGGGCAACCGGCGCCGCGGGCGGAGGGGGCUGCGGCCCAUCAGCUAGUUGGUGGGGUAACGGCCCACCAAGGCAAUGACGGGUAGGGGGCCUGAGAGGGUGGCCCCCCACACGGGGACUGAGACACGGCCCCGACUCCUACGGGAGGCAGCAGUGGGGAAUCUUGGGCAAUGCCCGCAAGGGUGACCCAGCGACGCCGCGUGCGGGAAGAAGCCCUUCGGGGUGUAAACCGCUUUUCUGGGGGAAGAAUAAGGCGGGGAGGAAAUGCCCCGCCGAUGACGGUACCCCAGGAAUAAGGGACGGCUAACUACGUGCCAGCAGCCGCGGUAAGACGUAGGUCCCGAGCGUUGCCCGGAUUUACUGGGCGUAAAGUGCGCGUAGGCGGUUCGGCAAGUCGCCCGUGAAAGCCCGGGGCUCAACCCCGGGAGGCCGGGCGAUACUGCCGGGCUAGAGAACGGCAGAGGAGGGUGGAGCGGCCGGAGUAGCGGUGAAAUGCGUAGAUACCGGCCGAAAUCCCGAUGGCGAAGGCAACCCUCUGGGCCGGUCCUGACGCUGAGGCGCGAAAGCGUGGGGAGCGAACCGGAUUAGAUACCCGGGUAGUCCCACGCCCUAAACGAUGCGGGCUAGGUGUCGGGGGGUACUCCCUCGGUGCCGCAGCUAACGCGUUAAGCCCGCCGCCUGGGCAGUACGGCCGCAAGGCUGAAACUCAAGGGAAUUGACGGGGUCCCACACAAGCGGUGGAGCAUGUGGUUUAAUUCGAUGCUAAACGAAGAACCUCACCCGGGCUUGACAUGCCGGUGGUACCAACCCGAAAGGGAAGGGACCCCGGGCCGAAAGGCGCCGGGGAGCCGGCACAGGUGCUGCAUGGCUGUCGUCAGCUCGUGCCGUGGGGUGUUGGGUUAAGUCCCGGAACGAGCGCAACCCCUGCCGCCAGUUGCCAGCGGGCCCACAAGGGCGCCGGGGACUCUGGCGGGACUGCCGGCGAAUAGCCGGAGGAAGGAGGGGAUGACGUCAAGUCCUCAUGGCCCUUAUGCCCGGGGCUACACACAUGCUACAGUGCCCGGUACAAUGGGACGCGAAGGGGCGACCCGGAGCCAAUCCCACCAAAGCCGGGCAUGGUUCGGAUUGCAGGCUGCAACCCGCCUGCAUGAAGAGGGAAUCGCUAGUAAUCGCGGGUCAGCCACACCGCGGUGAAUACGUACUUGGGGCUUGUACACACCGCCCGUCACGCCAACCGAGUGGGGGGCACCUGAAGUCGUCCGAAGAGGGCGCCGAGGGUGUCCUUCAUGAGGGGGGCGAAGUCGUAACAAGGUAACCA
rnacentral:rRNA from 1 species